rnacentral:rRNA from 1 species
UGCCUAAUACAUGCAAGUGGGACGCAAGGAUAACACACUGUGCUUGCACACCGUGUUUUCUUGAGUCGCGAACGGGUGAGUAACGCGUAGGUAACCUGCCUAUUAGCGGGGGAUAACUAUUGGAAACGAUAGCUAAUACCGCAUAAUAUUAAUUAUUGCAUGAUAAUUGAUUGAAAGAUGCAAGCGCAUCACUAGUAGAUGGACCUGCGUUGUAUUAGCUAGUUGGUAAGGUAAGAGCUUACCAAGGCGACGAUACAUAGCCGACCUGAGAGGGUGAUCGGCCACACUGGGACUGAGACACGGCCCAGACUCCUAACCGGGGAAGGGCCAAGCCAGGUAAGGGAAUUCCUUCCGGGCCAAAUGGGAACGAAAAAGUUCUUGACCCGAAGCCAACCGCCCGGCGGUGAAGUGAAAGAAAGGGUUUUUCCGGAAUCCGUAAAAGCUUCUGGUUGUAAAGUCCAAGAAACGUUGUGUUGAGAAGUGGGAAAAGUUUCACACCAAGUGACGGGUAGCUUACCCAGAAAAGGGGACGGGCUAACUUACGUGCCCACCAGCCCGCGGGUAAUACCGUAGGUCCCCGAGCCGUUGUCCGGGAUUUAUUGGGGCGUAAAGGGGAGCGCCAGGCGGGUCAGGAAAAGUCCGGGAGUAAAAGGGCUAUGGCUCAACCCAUAGUGUGCUCUGGAAACUGUCUGACUUGAGUGCAGAAGGGGAGAGUGGAAUUCCAUGUGUAGCGGUGAAAUGCGUAGAUAUAUGGAGGAACACCAGUGGCGAAAGCGGCUCUCUGGUCUGUCACUGACGCUGAGGCUCGAAAGCGUGGGUAGCGAACAGGAUUAGAUACCCUGGUAGUCCACGCCGUAAACGAUGAGUGCUAGGUGUUAGGCCCUUUCCGGGGCUUAGUGCCGGAGCUAACGCAAUAAGCACUCCGCCUGGGGAGUACGACCGCAAGGUUGAAACUCAAAGGAAUUGACGGGGGCCCGCACAAGCGGUGGAGCAUGUGGUUUAAUUCGAAGCAACGCGAAGAACCUUACCAGGUCUUGACAUCCCGAUGCUAUUCUUAGAGAUAGGAAGUUACUUCGGUACAUCGGAGACAGGUGGUGCAUGGUUGUCGUCAGCUCGCGUCGUGAGAUGCUGGGUUAAGUUCCCGCAACGAGCCCAACCCCUUAUUGGUAGUUGGCCAUCAUUUAAGUUGGGCCACUCUUACCAAAACUGGCCGGUAAUUAAACCCGGAGGAAGGUGGGGAUGACGUCAAAUCAUCAUGCCCCUUAUGACCUGGGCUACACACGUGCUACAAUGGUCGGUACAACGAGUUGCGAGCCGGUGACGGCAAGCUAAUCUCUGAAAGCCGAUCUCAGUUCGGAUUGGAGGCUGCAACUCGCCUCCAUGAAGUCGGAAUCGCUAGUAAUCGCGGAUCAGCACGCCGCGGUGAAUACGUUCCCGGGCCUUGUACACACCGCCCGUCACACCACGAGAGUUUGUAACACCCGAAGUCGGUGAGGUAACCUUUUAGGGGCCAGCCGCCUAAA